CGGAUCUCUGCCAGCUCUGCCUCCAGCCUGCCCACCACGGCACCCAGGUUCUGCAGUUCCAUGUCAUGCCAGUGCUGGGCGUCGUGCAAGCUGUUUUCCAGGCCUCGUUUCUACAAAAGAGUGAAGGUUAUCGGCUUGGGCGGUCCAGAAGCCCACAGAGGUCAGAAGAGGCAUUGGAACCCCUGGAACUGAAGUCACAGACGUUGUGAGCUGCCAUGUGGGUGCUAGAAACAGAAUCUGGGUCCUCUGUAAGAGCAGAGAGAAGCCAGUGAAAAUACCAAAUGUCACCAUGAACAGCCAUUGGACAGAUGAGACAUCCAUAAGAAGAGCUACCUGUGACCUUGGAGCCACGUGGCCCUUCUCUCUAGGGAGAGAAGGUAGAAAUGAAUGACUUGUGGUCUUCAUUAGUAACACUGAACGGCAGGCAGGCUGGAAGCUUGCUAUAGGGAGAGCUGGGAGAGCUAACAGUGGGGUGUCCUCACCCCCUACUCUCCCUCUGACCUGAAAUGCCACUGUCACAACUAUAUGCUUUAAUGCCAGGUUCCCCACUCAAGGAGACAGUAUGUGGUGAUAUGAAUAUAUACUGUCCCCUCCCCCAGACUUAAGUGUUAUGCCUCAAUACUCAGGUGGUGGAGCUAUUUUGGAAGGUUCUAAAAACUUAAUGAGGUUGGAAGCCUAGUUAUGGGGAAGUAGCCCCCUGGGACAUGUUCUUGGGGCUGUGUAUUUCCAUGACCUUUCCUCUGUUCCUGCUUCCUGGCCAUCCUGAGGUCAUCAGCUUUCCCUUCCACCAUAAUGUUCCGCCUCACCACAGCCCAGAAACAAUGAUGCUGGCUGACUGGACCGAAAGGCUUCAAACUGUGAAAGAAAAAGAAGCCUUUCUUCCAUUU
rnacentral:lncRNA from 1 species